AGGCGGCGACUGUCCAGAAGAUCCCUCCAUCAGGAAGUGGCGAAUCCGGCCAUCAUCGCGUCCAACGGCGCUGAGAGACCGUGCAGGAUUUGCUCUAAUCGAGCAGGAGCAGAAGGAGAAAAAGACGUUUCAACGCCCUAUAGCUUAGUCUGCUGCUGAUACAAGGGAAGGACCAGGGAAUAGACAACAGCAUAAAGUUCAUGUUCAUAGAGCGUGCGCCACGUGGUCAGCUCCAGCCAAUGGCGGAGAGGAUCCAGUCGUAAACUUUUAUUACUCAGCUGUAAAUUUCUCCCUUUAACAACCAGGAAUGUUUGCACCCAUCUUUUCCCUUCCUUUCUCUCCCUUUUCCUUUCUGGGGCGCACAAAAACUAAAAAUGGCCACAUGAUAUGAAACGCCACGAAGAUUUUUUUUUCUUUCCACCUAUGGGUGAACCUUCUCAGCACGCGAAGGAAAAAAGAGACAGUUCGACAGCUGUGAGCCUAAAAAGCCAAAAAUCGGAUUGAGCUCCAGGAUACGCAAACCAGCUUUCAGCACCUGAAGGCUUCAGAUGCCUGUAAAAAAAAAUCAAAUUUACUCACAGAUUUGAGGAAACUUUACUAUUAAAAAGAUCAUAAACAUAAAUUUAAAAAACGGUUUGAGCGUGCAGCUAUACAUGAGGGUAUGAAUUCUUAAAAAUCAACCUGCAACAUAAAUCUGGGUCAAACUUUCAGCACACUGUGGGUAUGAAGGAAAAUAUUUAAAAACGUGGACAUAAAUCUGACAUCACAGAAAAACGGAGAACAACGUGCUCUCUGCUUAUAUAUAGGAAAUUCACUUCAUUAUCAGCACAACUAUCGAAAUUUACGUUAAAAGGUUCGUCGUAUUGUUGACAGUCCAGAUAAUUAUGGCGUGAUAAAUUCCAAAGUCCAACAUCGAGAGUUAUAGCUGAAAUCUUAUAAUGCAUUUUCUUUACAGGGACUUACAACCCGUAGAUUCACCAGUGACACAAAUUCCCUUAAUAAAUUA
rnacentral:lncRNA from 1 species